CUCGGAGUUUGAUCCUGGCUCAGAUUGAACGCUGGCGGCAGGCCUAACACAUGCAAGUCGAACGGUAGAGGGGGCAACCCCUUGAGAGUGGCGAACGGGUGAGUAAUAUAUCGGAACGUGCCCAGUCGUGGGGGAUAACGUAGCGAAAGUUACGCUAAUACCGCAUACGAUCUACGGAUGAAAGCGGGGGACUCGCAAGAGCCUCGCGCGAUUGGAGCGGCCGAUAUCAGAUUAGGUAGUUGGUGAGGUAAGGCUCACCAAGCCAACGAUCUGUAGCUGGUCUGAGAGGACGACCAGCCACACUGGAACUGAGACACGGUCC
rnacentral:rRNA from 1 species